rnacentral:rRNA from 1 species
CGGGUGAGUAACGCGUGAGGAACCUGCCUUUCAGAGGGGGACAACAGUUGGAAACGACUGCUAAUACCGCAUAAGCACCCAGUUUCGCAUGAAACAGAGUGAAAAGAGUAAAUCGGUGUAAGAUGGCUCUGCGUCUGAUUAGCUAGUUGGUGGGGUAAAGGCUCACCAAGGCGACGAUCAGUAGCCGGCCUGAGAGGGCGACCGGCCACAUUGGGACUGAGACACGGCCCAGACUCCUACGGAAGGCAGCAG